rnacentral:rRNA from 1 species
GAUGAACGCUGGCGGCGUGCCUAACACAUGCAAGUCGAACGAAGCACCUUACCUGAUUCUUCGGAUGAAAGUCUGGUGACUGAGUGGCGGACGGGUGAGUAACGCGUGGGUAACCUGCCCUGUACAGGGGGAUAACAGCUGGAAACGGCUGCUAAUACCGCAUAAGCGCACGAGGAGACAUCUCCUUGUGUGAAAAACUCCGGUGGUACAGGAUGGGCCCGCGUCUGAUUAGCUGGUUGGCAGGGUAACGGCCUACCAAGGCAACGAUCAGUAGCCGGUCUGAGAGGAUGAACGGCCACAUUGGAACUGAGACACGGUCCAAACUACUACGGGAGGCAGCAGUGGGGAAUAUUGCACAAUGGGGGAAACCCUGAUGCAGCAACGCCGCGUGAGUGAAGAAGUAUUUCGGUAUGUAAAGCUCUAUCAGCAGGGAAGAUAAUGACGGUACCUGACUAAGAAGCUCCGGCUAAAUACGUGCCAGCCGCCGCAGUAA